GGUUAUAGCUCAAUGGUACAGCACUUGCCUAGCAUGUGUGAGGCACUGGGUUCGAUCCUCAGCACCA
rnacentral:tRNA from 1 species